GGAAGAGUGGCCGAGUGGUCGAAGGCGCACGCUUGGAAAGCGUGUAGGGGGAAACUUCUCGCAGGUUCGAAUCCUGUCUCUUCCGCCA
rnacentral:tRNA from 1 species